rnacentral:rRNA from 1 species
UAGCAUAUCAAUAAGCGGAGGAAAAGAAACCAACUGGGAUUGCCCUAGUAACGGCGAGUGAAGCGGCAACAGCUCAAAUUUGAAAUCUGGCUCUCUCCGAGGGUCCGAGUUGUAAUUUGCAGAGGGUGCUUUGGCUUUGGUUGCGGUCUAAGUUCCUUGGAACAGGACAUCACAGAGGGUGAGAAUCCCGUAUGUGGUCGCAUUCCAUCGCCGUGUAAAGCCCCUUCGACGAGUCGAGUUGUUUGGGAAUGCAGCUCUAAAUGGGAGGUAAAUUUCUUCUAAAGCUAAAUACCGGCCAGAGACCGAUAGCGCACAAGUAGAGUGAUCGAAAGAUGAAAAGCACUUUGGAAAGAGAGUCAAACAGCACGUGAAAUUGUUGAAAGGGAAGCGCUUGCAGCCAGACUUGCCCGUCGUUGCUCAUCCAGGCUCUUGCCUGGAGCACUCGAUGGCGGGCAGGCCAGCAUCAGUUUGGGCGGCCGGAUAAAGACCUCUGUCACGUACCUUCCUCCGGGAAGGCCUUAUAGGGGAGGUGCAACACGGCCAGUCCGGACUGAGGUUCGCGCAUCUGCUAGGAUGCUGGCGUAAUGGCUGUAAGCGGCCCGUCUUGAAACACGGACCAAGGAGUCUAACAUCUAUGCGAGUGUUUGGGUGUCAAGCCCGGGCGCGCAAUGAAAGUGAACGGAGGUGGGAACCCUUCGCGGGGUGCACCAUCGACCGAUCCUGAUGUCUUCGGAUGGAUUUGAGUAAGAGCAUAGCUGUUGGGACCCGAAAGAUGGCGAACUAUGCUUGAAUCGGGUGAAGCCAGAGGAACCUCUGGUGCAGGCUCGCAGCGGUUCUGACGUGCAAAUCGAUCGUCAAAUUUGGGCAUAGGGGCGAAAGACUAAUCGAACUAUCUAGUAGCUGGUUCCUGCCGA